rnacentral:rRNA from 1 species
GAAAAAAAGUAAGCAUUGCCUUCUUUACUAUAUCUUGUAUUUAUUGUAAUUUUGCCUUAGGGGGUCUCUUCCUCGUUUAACGAAUGUCUGAAAACUUGGAUUAAGAAUUGGUGGAAUACCAGGCAAUUCGAAACUCUCUUGACUGAUAUUCAAGAGAAAAGGAUUCCAUAAAGAUUCAUAGAAUUAGAAGAACUUUCUCUCUUGGAUGAGAUGAUAAAAGAACCGAAGGCACAUGUACAAAAACCUCCUACAAGAAUACACAAGGAAAUAAUACAAUGGGUCAAAAUAAAUAAUGAGGAUCAUCUCCAUACCAUUUUGCAUUUCUCGACAAAUAUAAUAUGGUUGGCUAUUCUAAGUGGUUCUUUUUUUUCUGGGUAA